rnacentral:rRNA from 1 species
AGCGUACACGGUGGAUGCCCUGGCAGUCAGAGGCGAUGAAGGACGUGCUAAUCUGCGAAAAGCGCCGGCGAGGUGAUAUGAACCCUUGACCCGGCGAUGUCCGAAUGGGGAAACCCAGUGCAAUCCGUUGCACUAUCGUUAACUGAAUACAUAGGUUAACGAGGCGAACCGGGGGAACUGAAACAUCUAAGUACCCCGAGGAAAAGAAAUCAACCGAGAUUCCCCCAGUAGCGGCGAGCGAACGGGGAGCAGCCCGGAGUCUGAAUCAGCUUGUGUGUUAGUGGAACGGUCUGGAAAGUCCGACGGUACAGGGUGAUAGUCCCGUACACGAAAGCACACUUGCUGUGAACUCGAAGAGUAGGGCGGGACACGUGGUAUCCUGUCUGAAUAUGGGGGGACCAUCCUCCAAGGCUAAAUACUCCUGACUGACCGAUAGUGAACCAGUACCGUGAGGGAAAGGCGAAAAGAACCCCGGCGAGGGGAGUGAAAAAGAACCUGAAACCGUGUACGUACAAGCAGUGGGAGCCUCUUUAUGGGGUGACUGCGUACCUUUUGUAUAAUGGGUCAGCGACUUAUAUUCUGUAGCAAGGUUAACCGUAUAGGGGAGCCGAAGGGAAACCGAGUCUUAACUGGGCGUUAAGUUGCAGGGUAUAGACCCGAAACCCGGUGAUCUAGCCAUGGGCAGGUUGAAGGUUGGGUAACACUAACUGGAGGACCGAACCGACUAAUGUUGAAAAAUUAGCGGAUGACCUGUGGCUGGGGGUGAAAGGCCAAUCAAACCGGGAGAUAGCUGGUUCUCCCCGAAAGCUAUUUAGGUAGCGCCUCGUGAACUCAUCUUCGGGGGUAGAGCACUGUUUCGGCUAGGGGGCCAUCCCGGCUUACCAACCCGAUGCAAACUACGAAUACCGAAGAAUGUUAUCACGGGAGACACACGGCGGGUGCUAACGUCCGUCGUGAAGAGGGAAACAACCCAGACCGCCAGCUAAGGUCCCAAAGUCAUGGUUAAGUGGGAAACGAUGUGGGAAGGCACAGACAGCCAGGAUGUUGGCUUAGAAGCAGCCAUCAUUUAAAGAAAGCGUAAUAGCUCACUGGUCGAGUCGGCCUGCGCGGAAGAUGUAACGGGGCUAAACCAUGCACCGAAGCUGCGGCAGCGACACUAUGUGUUGUUGGGUAGGGGAGCGUUCUGUAAGCCGUUGAAGGUGUGCUGUGAGGCAUGCUGGAGGUAUCAGAAGUGCGAAUGCUGACAUAAGUAACGAUAAAGCGGGUGAAAAGCCCGCUCGCCGGAAGACCAAGGGUUCCUGUCCAACGUUAAUCGGGGCAGGGUGAGUCGACCCCUAAGGCGAGGCCGAAAGGCGUAGUCGAUGGGAAACAGGUUAAUAUUCCUGUACUUGGUGUUACUGCGAAGGGGGGACGGAGAAGGCUAUGUCAGCCGGGCGACGGUUGUCCCGGUUUAAGCAUGUAGGCGGAGGUUCCAGGUAAAUCCGGUACCUUAUUAACGCUGAGGUGUGAUGACGAGGCACUACGGUGCUGAAGUGAUAAAUGCCCUGCUUCCAGGAAAAGCCUCUAAGCAUCAGGUAACACGAAAUCGUACCCCAAACCGACACAGGUGGUCAGGUAGAGAAUACCAAGGCGCUUGAGAGAACUCGGGUGAAGGAACUAGGCAAAAUGGUGCCGUAACUUCGGGAGAAGGCACGCUGAUGUGUAGGUGAAGCCCCUGCGGGCGGAGCUGAAAUCAGUCGAAGAUACCAGCUGGCUGCAACUGUUUAUUAAAAACACAGCACUGUGCAAACACGAAAGUGGACGUAUACGGUGUGACGCCUGCCCGGUGCCGGAAGGUUAAUUGAUGGGGUUAGCGGCAACGCGAAGCUCUUGAUCGAAGCCCCGGUAAACGGCGGCCGUAACUAUAACGGUCCUAAGGUAGCGAAAUUCCUUGUCGGGUAAGUUCCGACCUGCACGAAUGGCGUAAUGAUGGCCAGGCUGUCUCCACCCGAGACUCAGUGAAAUUGAACUCGCUGUGAAGAUGCAGUGUACCCGCGGCAAGACGGAAAGACCCCGUGAACCUUUACUAUAGCUUGACACUGAACACUGGUCCUUGAUGUGUAGGAUAGGUGGGAGGCUUUGAAGCGUGGACGCCAGUCUGCGUGGAGCCAACCUUGAAAUACCACCCUUUAAUGGCUGGUGUUCUAACGUAGACCCGUAAUCCGGGUUGCGGACAGUGUCUGGUGGGUAGUUUGACUGGGGCGGUCUCCUCCCAAAGAGUAACGGAGGAGCACGAAGGUUGGCUAAUCCUGGUCGGACAUCAGGAGGUUAGUGCAAUGGCAUAAGCCAGCUUGACUGCGAGCGUGACGGCGCGAGCAGGUGCGAAAGCAGGUCAUAGUGAUCCGGUGGUUCUGAAUGGAAGGGCCAUCGCUCAACGGAUAAAAGGUACUCCGGGGAUAACAGGCUGAUACCGCCCAAGAGUUCAUAUCGACGGCGGUGUUUGGCACCUCGAUGUCGGCUCAUCACAUCCUGGGGCUGAAGUAGGUCCCAAGGGUAUGGCUGUUCGCCAUUUAAAGUGGUACGCGAGCUGGGUUUAGAACGUCGUGAGACAGUUCGGUCCCUAUCUGCCGUGGGCGCUGGAGAAUUGAGGGGGGCUGCUCCUAGUACGAGAGGACCGGAGUGGACGCAUCACUGGUGUUCGGGUUGUCAUGCCAAUGGCACUGCCCGGUAGCUAAAUGCGGAAGAGAUAAGUGCUGAAAGCAUCUAAGCACGAAACUUGCCCCGAGAUGAGUUCUCCCUGAGACCUUGA